CUUCAAACCACACCAAGGAGGAUCCUCUGCUUCGAUGGCACACAUCAAAAGUAGCUCUUUCUCCAUCCCUGCUCUGCCCGCAAACGGUGUCCCAUGGGAAGGGCCACUCGCUCUUGCCGUGGCUAACUGCAAACCCCAGGCUCUUCCAGAGGACCCGGGUUGGGUUCUCAGAAUCCACGUAGUGAUCCCCAACCGUCUGCAACUCCAGUUCCAGGGAAUACCCUCUUCAGAACUCCAAGGGCACCAGGCAUGUGCAUGGCGUACAGACAUCCACACAGGUAGGCUGGCCUGGCAAUCAGCAUGCAAUCUGCGCUGGACUCAAACUCCCUACAGUCCUCUUGUCUUCUCCUCCUGAGUUCUAGAAAGCAGGACUGUUCCUUAGUGAAAUAUUUAAAAGCACGGCUGUUUGCUAACUUCUUAAGCCCCGAAUCCCUGUCUUUCUAUCAAGGUCAGCGUCUUCAUUUGCAGCAGCCACAAGGAAGCAGCCCGAGGACGCCCUAGUCUCUGACCCACUAGUCCAGUGAGAGCAUCCACGUCUCUCCCUGACUCACUGACCACGCACACGCUUCACUCACAAGCAGCAUAUACUGAAUGUUCACUCAGCAAAACAUGUUCGACUUCUAGACCUCUUUAAUGGUGUCCAUUCACAAUCUCCGGGCUAUGCGACUCGCCAUAGGGAGCCCCAAGGAAUAAGGAUGAUAACAAACCUAAUGGUUCAAGCAGAACUCGUACUGCAUUGAUGAUCUUUUGAUUAAGAAGUUGAAUAAUUUUUCCCAUGCCUUCCUUCCCUUGGUAUAAACCCAUCACCACCC
rnacentral:lncRNA from 1 species